AAGCGCUUGCGAUCAGACCCGCCCUCGGCUGCUCAGCCGGUCUUCUGACCGGUCCAUUCAGCCGUCGUCGGACCAGCGUCAGUUCUGGCCGCCGGACAAAGGCGGUGGGAAUGUGGCUCCCCCGGGAGUGUUAUAGCCCACCGUGCAAUGCGGCGCGCCGGGACUGAGGUUCGCGUUCUGCCCGGACGCUGGUGCAAUGGUCGUAAGCGG
rnacentral:rRNA from 1 species